UUUCCCCGGGGAAAGACUGCCAUUUAGGUGGGACAGGGUGGGCUUCUUCAGGAAUCACUGGACCAUCUUAGUGUGAUUUUCCUCUUCCUCAAACUUAGGUCCUCAAAAAAUGUCCUUUACGUUGAGCUACAUGGCAGGGCUUAAGAACUGCAAAGGCCCCGGGGUCCGGCAGAGAGUUUGCUUUGCUUUCUUGCUUUCACCUCCUCCCUUCGUCCCUUCCAUAGGCCCGAUUGUAGACCUUGACAGUGAUGUAUCGCUCUAUCCUUAGCUGGAUAGGAGACCAAGGAGGUUGACGAAACAUCGAAAGAUUACCAUGUGUUGGUAAUGAUACCUCUUUCACAUUAAGGGAGUUUGAUCAUCUUGGCAUUAAGACAACUUAUGAAAAUACUAUAACUAAGCAAGACCUGGAAAAUGCCGUUUUGGUUUAUGCAUCUAAUGGGCUAUGGCUCGGGCUAGGAUUUCCUUGUCCUUUUGUUUUUUUAAAAAAACUUGUGCUGGGAAGGGGAAUUUGUGGGAGCUUGUAGAGCUUUUAAGACUUGGUUCAACUGUGUAAGUAUUGUCUCAGUUACUCUUUCCUCUAAGGCCAAAGAGUCCAGACUGGAUGGUUGUGCAGUGCCCCCUACGAUUUCCGUUCACGCCACGGGCUGCGAGCAGCAUUACCAGAUCCUCCUGCUUCCAGAUGCCUGGGUUUGCUAUUUUGGAGCUACAUCAGCAAACUGGCAGUAGUGAGCCACUUGUGGAAGAGGCUUCCCCCGGUCCUGCUGGAAAUGAAGCCCUGUUGUGCUCCGUCAGGCCAUGGGGAGCCGCGGAGGCAUCAGAGUCCUCUCUGGGUUCCUCACACCUCCCACUGCCCCCUUUUUAUUUGGAAAACUAGCAAAUGAGGAUUUCCUCGAUCCACACAUCCUUAUCACCUGCCCUCCCAAUAUCUCGAUAUAGUCAGACCACAUUUUGAGUACCUUCAAUUGCUGGAUUACUUCGUAACUUUAAGAAGUGUGAAGUCUUGAAGGAGGAGGCGGCCAACUAUUAUGUUUUUGAGGACGUCCUUAAUCUUUCUUUAAACUGCUCCUGGCGUCUGAAUGUGUGAAGAUGGUGUUGUCUAAUAUGUACCAACUGC